rnacentral:tRNA from 1 species
AACAAAUUUUUAGAUAGGUCUUCUAAAUCUGUUUUGGGUUUCCCGUUUGUUU